rnacentral:lncRNA from 1 species
CAUGUGCACAGAACCCCUUUUCUGCCAGCCUGCUGCAUCAGCUAACUAUUUAACAACAAUAAAAAGUGAAAACAGAAAGGUUGUUUUCAAUCAUUGGAGACUUAAAAAUUAACUCCAGAUCAAGAAAAUUGUGGUAACUAAUGCAAAUUUUAUUACACUGGCAGAUAUAACAAUAGAAUAAUGAUUGCAACUUCCAACAACUGGAAAAAUAAACAGAAUAGACAGAUCAACAUCCGAGCUACAUUUAUAGUUUAUUUAAAACAAACAAAGUAUUUGGUGUGGCAAUUUUAACUAAUAACAUUGAAGAAUUAAAAGACAACACAAAGUGUGUGAAGGGAAAUAUAAAUCUUAUUUCCAAUUGCAUUAAACAUUUGAAUAAGAGGUCAUUAUAUAAGAUGUCUACUUUUCAACCAAUCCCCAUUCAAGAAUACCGAUUUUAUAUCCGAGAACAGAUAAGUUUCAUUUAUGCUAGACCUUAUCCCAUAAUGCCAUUUGUCAAAGCUGAAGUCAGUUUUAUAAUGAACUAACAAACAAGAUCUUGUAUCUACAAUAUUCGCCGUCCUAAUUCGAAGAAAAAAAAGGUCAAGAAUUACAAAGAAACAGAACCACCCAAGAAUUUUUCAAACAAUAACAAAUUUUGACACGAUUACAAGCAAACAUUUACAAAGAGAGAAUCAAAAUGCAAAAGAAGCUCAAGUAGCGAAUAUAGAAUUAUAGAAAUGUUUGGCCUUGCUCAGUAAAUGACCAAUUGAAGAUGUAUAGGACGAAGCAGAUCUAAAAUGAUUCCAACAAGUUCAAAAAUGUAAUUUUACAGCAACUACUUUAAUAUCCAGCUAAAAUUGGAAAAUUAUGAAUCAGAAAUGGAAAUGAAACGGAAUACACGCCAAGAAACGGAAAUAAUGCAUACCCAGAUAGAAAGAAAUAAAAGAAAACUGAAAUUGAAUGCGGCAAAACAUAAUAUGCCAAGACCCGUUAAUCACACGCAAAAUGUAAACCCUGAAACUUGUAUUAUUAUUGUAUCAAUUCAAAUAGUAUGCAUAUAUUGCAGCAGAAAUUGAACCUUUCCGCCGAGAUAGAUGGUCUCCACAUCAACAGAAACGGAGUCGCUGCUUGAUUCACCCAUGGCCGUCGGUUCGCCCUCUCCUCUCCCUCUCUCUCUCCCCCUCCCUCUCUCUAAAUUCUUCUAUAUAUAUAAAAGUGUGGUUGAAGAGAGAAUUCUUGGAAAUUUGAUGGCUUCUAUACGAAGCGAUUCUUUCUCGGCCCUCCCCUUAAUUCGUCUCUCUGAAUUUACUUAUAUAUCUGGAAAUUAAUCUGCGGUUAACCUCCACCGACGCUUCCUUUCUCCUCUUGCUCCCUCUCUCUCCUCCAUUCACUUCUAGAGAGAGUGAAAGAACUAGUGACAGCUUAGCACUUUUGACAGCUCACAGAAUAUGCCACCCCACCGAUACAAUUAGAUAGGCUCAAAGUCCAACCUUGCCAAUGUUUUUGCCCCUUUGGCCAUCCC